rnacentral:rRNA from 1 species
AUUUAUAUAUCUUUCUAGUUUAUAAGAAUUCGCAGGGGUUAAUAUUUGAAAAAUAAUUUAUUAAGAUAAUAAAUUGUUACUGUUGGUGAAUAAUGGUUAUAGUGGUUAUAGAGAAAAGUACUGUGAAGGGAAGAUUUGGAAAAAUAAGAAAGAAUAAAGUAUAAGUUUAUCUUUGUACCUUGUGUAUCAGGGAAGAUUAAUAUAUUAUUGAGUAUUAUUGAGGAUCCUGAAAUAAAAAUAGUUAAUUUUAUAAAAAAGUUUUUAUGGUAUAAAAAUUUUUAAUAUAAAACUAGAAGUGAAAUGUUAGUCGAGUUUUAUAAUAUCCGGUUCCUUAAGAAAUAAAUAUAAUUUAGGUUUCAUAUACUGAUAAGAUGUGAGAAAAGAAAAUAGAAGGGGAAAGCUUUUUAUUUUAAUGAGAAUAGUUGAAAAUGAAGGUUGAUAGGGUUAGCUAGGCUUAGAAGUAGCCAUGUUUAUAAGGUGUUUUAACUAAAGGCUAAAGAGCAUUAUGUUAUUUUUAUAAAGCUUUUGAAGUAAAAUAUUAGGGAUUUGUCUAAAAUUUUAUAUGGCAAGAUAGGAUGAUUUUAUUAGUAGGAAAGUUUAUAUUUAAAUGGUAAAUUAAAUAAUGAGGAAGGUUUAACUAAGUAAGUUAGAUAUUAUAGAGGAAUUUGGCAAAUAUUUCUUUGCCUGUUUAUCAAAAACAUGUUUGUUUGGAGUUAUAAGGAAUCUGACCUGCCCCCUGACUAAUAGGUUAAAGGGCCGCAGUAUUAUAACUGUGCAAAGGUAGCAUAAUCACUAGGUUUUUAAUUGGAAUCUUGUAUGAAUGGUUAGACAAAAGAAUGACUCUCUUUGUAUUAAAUUUUGAAUUUAACUUUUAAGUGAAAAGGCUUAAAUAUUCUAGAGGGACGAUAAGACCCUAUAAAACUUUACAUUAUAAUUUAAUUUUAGUUGGAUUUUUAAAUAAUGAUUUAAUUGAGUUAUUUGUUAUGUUGGGGAGACAUGGGUAAAUAUUAUUUUAACUGCUUGAUAAAUAAAACAAUUAUUGGUGUGCGGAGUAAGAGAUCCUUUUUAAAGAUUAAUAGGUUAAGUUACUUUAGGGAUAACAGCGUAAUUUCUUUUGAGAGUUCUUAUCGAAAAAGAAGGUUGCGACCUCGAUGUUGAAUUAAAAUAUCUGUAUAAUGCAGGGGUUAUAUGAGAAGGUCUGUUCGACCUUGGAAAUUUUACAUGAUUUGAGUUCAAACCGGUGUGAGCCAGGUUGGUUUCUAUCUUUUAGACAGAAGGAGGAUUAUUUUAGUACGAAAGGAGUAGAUAAUUGAAAUAAUUUUUAGAGUGA